UACGGGGGGGGCAAGCGUUGUUCGGAAUUACUGGGCGUAAAGGGCGCGUAGGCGGCCUGCUAAGUCGGACGUGAAAUCCCUCGGCUCAACCGGGGAACUGCGUCCGAUACUGGCGAGGCUUGAAUCCGGGAGAGGGAUGUGGAAUUCCAGGUGUAGCGGUGAAAUGCGUAGAUAUCGGGAGGAACACCAGUAGCGAAGGCGGCUCGCUGGGCCGUUCCUGACGCUGAGACGCGAAAGCUAGGGGAGCGAACAGG
rnacentral:rRNA from 1 species